AGUGAACGCUGGCGGUAGGCCUAACACAUGCAAGUCGAACGGCAGCACAGUAAGAGCUUGCUCUUACGGGUGGCGAGUGGCGGACGGGUGAGGAAUACAUCGGAAUCUACUUUUUCGUGGGGGAUAACGUAGGGAAACUUACGCUAAUACCGCAUACGACCUACGGGGGAAAGCAGGGGAUCGUCGGACCUUGCGCGAUUGAAUGAGCCGAUGUCGGAGUAGCUAGUUGGCGGGGUAAAGGCCCACCAAGGCGACGAUACGUAGCUGGUCUGAGAGGAUGAUCAGCCACCCUGGAGCUGAGACACCGUCCAGACUCCUACGGGAGGCCGCAGUGGGGAAUAUUGGACAAUGGGCGCAAGCCUGAUCCAGCCAUCCCGCGUGGGUGAAGAAGGCGUUCGGGUUGUAAAGCCCUUUUGUUGGGAAAGAAACGCAGCAGGUUAAUACCCCGCUGUUCUGACGGUACCCAAAGAAUAAGCACCGGCUAACUUCGUG
rnacentral:rRNA from 1 species